AAAAAAUUAAACUCUAGGUUUUGGUGUCCAACUUUUACUAUCCGUUUUAUAUAAAUUUUUUUUAUAAUUCGUAUUUUUAUUGUUGUUAAAUGAUAAAACAUGAUUAAUAUUUUAUACGUAACUUGUCUUUUUAAUUUUUUUUAUAAUUUUUUUAAAUAAGACGGACGGUUAAACAUUGGACACAGAAAUCAGG
rfam:Oryza glumipatula chromosome 9, whole genome shotgun sequence.